UACGAAGGGGGCUAGCGUUGUUCGGAUUUACUGGGCGUAAAGCGCACGUAGGCGGAUCGUUAAGUCAGGGGUGAAAUCCUGGAGCUCAACUCCAGAACUGCCUUUGAUACUGGCGAUCUUGAGUCCGGAAGAGGUGAGUGGAACUCCUAGUGUAGAGGUGGAAUUCGUAGAUAUUAGGAAGAACACCAGUGGCGAAGGCGGCUCACUGGUCCGGUACUGACGCUGAGGCGCGAAAGCGUGGGGAGCGAACAGG
rnacentral:rRNA from 1 species